UGAUUGUGCAACUAACACAAGAUUCAAAACUCAUUACUAGAUGUCGCCACUGUCGCUCUUGUUGUUUACGUCCCCAUGUCAUGAAACGAAACGAAAAAAUGGGCGAAACAAAACAAAUUGUUGCUAUUUAUACUUAUAUUCCUGUGAUUUCAAAUACCAAAUGGAUCUUCGUAUCUUGUAUGCAUAGCUAAUUAGCUACUGUCAGUCAUACCAACAAGUUGACUUCUAGCACUCAGUCACUUUCCAUCCAUUAAAUCCUCAUGCUGUCAAAAGCCUUAAACUCAUGUUUGAAGCACACAUAUAGUGGAAUAUAAAUGUGCGGGUAUGAGGUAUUUUCCAAUUACUGCUACCACACCAACCACACCAAGUCAGAUACCUUAGGGCUACUAAAUCAUCACCUAUAUGAUGAUAAAGCAUCAGGAAAUUUAUCCCACCUGAGGAGUAAUGCAGCAAUUAUUACGGGUUUUCAUCAUGAACAUUUCAGUGUGCUUCUUGGAAAAGCACGCAAAAUCCCCACGGACAUCCUUGAGUCAAUGCUGGAUAUUGUCCUUGACAGAAGAGGGACUUCCACCAACGUUCUGCUCCAUUCUUAUCUUCAAGACGUACGCUCAUACAGCUUAUGC